UGUCAGUUGCAGGAACGAUGCAUGGGCUC
rnacentral:piRNA from 1 species